UCCCUGGUGGCUCAGUGGUAAAGAAUCUGCUUGCAAUUGCAGGAGAUAUGGGUUCGAUCCCUGAUCAGGGAA
rnacentral:tRNA from 1 species